AUUGAACGCUGGCGGCAGGCCUAACACAUGCAAGUCGAACGAGUGGCGGACGGGUGAGUAAUGUCUGGGAAACUGCCCGAUGGAGGGGGAUAACUACUGGAAACGGUAGCUAAUACCGCAUACCAUCGGAUGUGCCCAGAUGGGAUUAGCUAGUAGGUGGGGUAACGGCUCACCUAGGCGACGAUCCCUAGCUGGUCUGAGAGGAUGACCAGCCACAAUGGGACGGAGACACGGGCGAGACUCAUACGGAAGGAAGCAGUGGGGAAUAUUGAACACUGGGCGCAAGCGUGAUGCAGCCAAGACGCGUGUAUGAAGAGGGCCUUAGGGUUGUAAAGUACUUUCAGCGAGGAGGCAUUACUCGCAGAAGAAGCACCGGCUAACUCCGUGCCAGCCGCCGCGGUAAUUC
rnacentral:rRNA from 1 species